rnacentral:tRNA from 1 species
UGGUAGCCGAGUGGUUAGCAUUGCGUACUGACAUUCGCAAGGCUCGGGUUCAAGUCCCGGUAAAUAAA